CUUUACCUCUGCUAUGUCAUAAUGUUUUAUAAAUUGGAUAUAAGUGACUAUUUAAUCUUUGCAUUUUAAGGAGGAACUUCUCUGUUAUUUAUUUUAGAAUUGUUUUUCUCCAGCUCAAAUAACCCUUGACAAAUGUGACAUUGAAUUCCUCACUUGUAUUAGAUCUAAUGAACUGGAUGGAGAUGGUUAAGCAGGACAAUCGACGCCAAUUAUGAACUUGUCAUAAUGUUCUACUUUUACUAUUUUUAACCCAUUUCAUCUUUCUACUACCUUGUUUCUGCUUUACAAAACACGAAGUCUUUUCCUACUAUUUCCAUGAUAUGAUUGUUGAAAUGAUAAAGUGGGGUUUUCAAGAAGGGAAAACACUUUUUGGUUUCGGUUAUGAUUUUCGCCAAAGUAACGGGUAUAAUCAUAUUAUUGAUCUUUUUUAAUUAUUUUCCUUCUAAUUAAGGGUGGUGGCCUGUCAUUCCUUGCAAUUUAUAGAUUUUUUUCUAAUGGUUGAUUCUAGCUUUCUUUUAGGUUGCAAGACAAAUUGGAUCGCCUGGCAGCAAAACUAGAGUCAGUGAAUAAAGCAUCAGGGGGGAAAAAGAUAAAUAUCAUAAGUCAUUCUAUGGGGGGUCUUCUGGUAAAAUGUUUCAUGGGCCUUCACAGUGAUGUUUUUGAGAAAUAUGUGAAGAACUAGAUUGCGAUUGCUGCACCUUCUGGGUGCACCUGGAUAUAUUGCUUCUACCUUCCUAAAUGGAGUGUCACUUGUUGAAGGGUGGGAACAGAACUUUUUCAUUUCAAAGUGGAGCAUGCAUCAAUUAGCUUGUUGAUAAGAUUAAUAUAUCCGUGGGGCAAGAUCCAAAUCCCAUGUGCAAAUUGGAGUUUUGGACGUCUAUGGAUUUGAAUGCUUUAAGCAUAAUAGGAUUGACACUCAAGGAGCAAGAAACAUCUCAAGAACUCAUUGGGAUCGGCGGUCAAAAUUCAAAAUCAAGUGACACAAAGAGCUAGAUUUGGAGCUUAA